rnacentral:rRNA from 1 species
GACGGAGGGUGCUAGCGUUGUUCGGAAUGACUGGGCGUAAAGGGCGCGUAGGCGGCUUUGUAAGUUAGAGGUGAAAGCCCGGAGCUCAACUCCGGAACUGCCUUUAAAACUGCAUCGCUUGAAUCCAGGAGAGGUGAGUGGAAUUCCGAGUGUAGAGGUGAAAUUCGUAGAUAUUCGGAAGAACACCAGUGGCGAAGGCGGCUCACUGGACUGGUAUUGACGCUGAGGUGCGAAAGCGUGGGGAGCAAACAGG